GACGGAGGAUGCAAGCGUUAUCCGGAAUGAUUGGGCGUAAAGCGUCCGCAGGUGGCAGUUCAAGUCUGCUGUCAAAGACCGGGGCUUAACUUCGGAAAGGCAGUGGAAACUGAACAGCUAGAGUAUGGUAGGGGCAGAGGGAAUUCCUGGUGUAGCGGUGAAAUGCGUAGAGAUCAGGAAGAACAUCGGUGGCGAAGGCGCUCUGCUGGACCAUAACUGACACUUAGGGACGAAAGCUAGGGGAGCGAAUGGG
rnacentral:rRNA from 1 species